UAGAAAAACCAUAUAUUGCAAGAAUUUAUUU
rnacentral:piRNA from 1 species